rnacentral:rRNA from 1 species
GGUGGAGCCUGCGGUUUAAUCGGACUCAACGCCGGGAAACUCACCAGAUAAGACAGCUGAAUGAUAGUCGGGCUGAAGACUCUACUUGACUAGCUGAGAGGAGGUGCAUGGCCGUCGUCAGUUCGUACUGUGAAGCAUCCUGUUAAGUCAGGCAACGAGCGAGACCCACGCCAACAGUUGCCAGCUCGUCCUCCGGGAUGGUGGGGACACUGUUGGGACCGCCUCUGCUAAAGAGGAGGAAGGAAUGGGCAACGGUAGGUCAGCAUGCCCCGAAUUAUCUGGGCUACACGCGGGCUACAAUGGGUGGGACAAUGGGUAUCGACACCGAAAGGUGAAGGCAAUCUCCUAAACCCAUCCGUAGUUCGGAUUGUGGGCUGCAACUCGCCCACAUGAAGCUGGAAUCUGUAGUAAUCGUGUCUCAAAAUGGCACGGUGAAUAUGUCCCUGCUCCUU